GGAGGUAUAGCUCUGUGGUAGAGUGCGUGCUUAGCACGCUAAGGUCCUGGGUUCAAUCCCCUGUACAUUCA
rnacentral:tRNA from 1 species